UCAGCGAGUGUUGCUUUCUCAAAGAAGAGUUGUAGAGUUCGAAUAGCGGUGUCUACAGUCUACUCCUCCACAGUUGCUUCUGCGAAAAUCAGCCUGAAAUUCGUAAGGUGGCGGUAUUGUAUUGUGCUCGUAAUGGCGCUAUUGAUGGAACCUGGUUCAGAACCCCUUACCGAAACCGAGAAAGCCGACCUGGAUGCUAUCGCCGCUCUUAAGGAGUCAUCUUCCAUUGAGCUCAAGGAAAAGGGUAACCAGUUUGUGAAAAUGGGCAAAAAGCAUUAUUCAGAGGCUAUAGACUGUUACACAAGAGCUAUUAAUCAGAAGGCUUUAGGUGAUUCCGAGACCUCAAUUCUUCUUUCCAAUAGAGCCCAUGUCAAUAUUUUGCUUGGUAAUUACAGACGUGCUCUUAGUGAUGCUGAGGACGCAAUUAAGCUCUCUCCCACUAAUGUCAAGGCAUUGUAUCGAGCUGCCAAAGCGUCUUUGUCAUUGAAUCUGUUAUCUGAAGCCAAAUCACAUUGCGAGAAUGGACUUAAACACGACCCGGAUAACCAAGAACUGAAGAAACUUUUGAGGCAGAUUGAUUCUCUGAAGUUUGAACAAGAACAACGCCAGGCUCAAGUUUCCAAAGCUGUUGGAGAGGCUAAGGACCUUCUUUCUGCUAUUGAAUCUAGAGGUUAUAAGAUUGGGAAAGCAAUGUUCAGAGAACUUAUUGGACCAAGAAAGCCAGUUCUGGAUAAGAAUAAGAUUGUUCAUUGGCCUGUUCUUCUUCUUUAUGCUGAGGUUAUGUCCAGUGAUUUUAUUGAGGAUUUCUGUGAGACAGACAUGUUUGCGGUUCAUCUCGAUAUGAUGUUUUCAGAAAGUGCUCCACCUUUGCCGUGGGAUGCAGAAAACAAUUAUACUCGUGAAGCUGUGGAAUUAUACUAUGAGGCUGCUCCAGGAGCUUGUCUACCAAAGAAAAAAAUUCUUCAGUAUCUCCUUGAGGGCACUCCAGCUUCUCAUGUAGAAGAAGACAUUGGUGAUGAUGACAAGGACGCUGCUCGGGAUUCAAAUCACGGCACCUCUUCAGGCUCCUCCAAAUGGAUUAAAGUAGAUGAAAAGAGAACGCUUCACAACGUACUGAAAGAGCCCAACUUCAUCAUUCAAGGAAUCCCAGUCUUCUAUGUUGUCUCUAAAAAAUCAACCAACUUCUAUAGAAAGUUCAAGGCUGGUUUAUGGACACUUCCAUCUUGAGUAGAUAUGUUGGUCUGUGCUUUUUUGUAGGCUUGUAUCAAAAUCUUCAAGACCCUGAAGUUGAGGAAUAUUUAUCUAGCAUCUUCUUUCUGCUAUUGAAUCUUAAGGUUAUAAAAUUGGGAAAGCAAUGUUCAGAGAACUUAUUGGACCAAAAAAGCCAGUUUUUGAUAAGAAUAAGAUUGUUCACUGGCUUGUUCUUCUUCUUAAUGCUGAGCUUAUGUCCAUUGAUUUUAUUGGGGAUUUCUGAGACAAAAAUGCUUACAGUUCAUCACCACAUGAUAUCCUUUUAGAGUGUGUGCGAAAGUAAAUGUGUAAUUAUUAAGCGGUUUAAUUAUAAGAUGUGUUUGGAUGUUAAGUGAUAAUUACUUAUGAAUUUCUAUUGUCAUGUUUGACAAAACAGUUAGUAAUUACAUAAAAAAAAGAAUAUUAUGUAUAAAUACUAUUUAAAAUUGAUACUAUUUAAUAA